rnacentral:rRNA from 1 species
GACGAACGCUUGCGGCGUGCUUAACACAUGCAAGUCGAACGGAAAGGCCCUGCUUUUGUGGGGUGCUCGAGUGGCGAACGGGUGAGUAACACGUGAGUAACCUGCCCUUGACUUUGGGAUAACUUCAGGAAACUGGGGCUAAUACCGGAUAGGAGCUCCUGCCGCAUGGUGGGGGUUGGAAAGUUUCGGCGGUUGGGGAUGGACUCGCGGCUUAUCAGCUUGUUGGUGGGGUAGUGGCUUACCAAGGCUUUGACGGGUAGCCGGCCUGAGAGGGUGACCGGCCACAUUGGGACUGAGAUACGGCCCAGACUCCUACGGGAGGCAGCAGUGGGGAAUAUUGCACAAUGGGCGGAAGCCUGAUGCAGCAACGCCGCGUGCGGGAUGACGGCCUUCGGGUUGUAAACCGCUUUCGCCUGUGACGAAGCGUGAGUGACGGUAAUGGGUAAAGAAGCACCGGCUAACUACGUGCCAGCAGCCGCGGUGAUACGUAGGGUGCGAGCGUUGUCCGGAUUUAUUGGGCGUAAAGGGCUCGUAGGUGGUUGAUCGCGUCGGAAGUGUAAUCUUGGGGCUUAACCCUGAGCGUGCUUUCGAUACGGGUUGACUUGAGGAAGGUAGGGGAGAAUGGAAUUCCUGGUGGAGCGGUGGAAUGCGCAGAUAUCAGGAGGAACACCAGUGGCGAAGGCGGUUCUCUGGGCCUUUCCUGACGCUGAGGAGCGAAAGCGUGGGGAGCGAACAGGCUUAGAUACCCUGGUAGUCCACGCUGUAAACGGUGGGUACUAGGUGUGGGGUCCAUUCCACGGGUUCCGUGCCGUAGCUAACGCUUUAAGUACCCCGCCUGGGGAGUACGGCCGCAAGGCUAAAACUCAAAGGAAUUGACGGGGCCCCGCACAAGCGGCGGAGCAUGCGGAUUAAUUCGAUGCAACGCGUAGAACCUUACCUGGGUUUGACAUGGAUCGGGAGUGCUCAGAGAUGGGUGUGCCUCUUUUGGGGUCGGUUCACAGGUGGUGCAUGCCUGUCGUCAGCUCGUGUCGUGAGAUGUUGGGUUAAGUCCCGCAACGAGCGCAACCCUUGUUCACUGUUGCCAGCACGUUAUGGUGGGGACUCAGUGGAGACCGCCGGGGUCAACUCGGAGGAAGGUGGGGAUGACGUCAAGUCCUCAUGCCCCUUAUGUCCAGGGCUUCACGCAUGCUACAAUGGCUGGUACAGAGAGUGGCGAGCCUGUGAGGGUGAGCGAAUCUCGGAAAGCCGGUCUCAGUUCGGAUUGGGGUCUGCAACUCGACCUCAUGAAGUCGGAGUCGCUAGUAAUCGCAGAUCAGCAACGCUGCGGUGAAUACGUUCCCGGGGCU